UCCGCGCGCCCCGCGGGGCGGGAACCCUGAGGGGCCGGGAGGGGUCCGGAGCACCGGGAGCGUCUGAGGGAGCCGGGAAAGGGUCUGGAGCACCGGGAGCGGCUGAGGGAGCCGAACCCGGGUCAGUCUGUUUGGAGGCUGUACAUGGAAUGAGAGAUUGGAGUGCUCAUUUGACCUCAGCCAUGCUAAAGAAGCAAAUGAUUGUCAAGAUCCAGCAGCUGGAGAUGAGAAUUCAAUGUUUGACAAGGAGUCCAGCUACCCAAUGGAUCUUCUUCAGCUGAAAAGAAGGAACAGCUGAUUUCUUAUAUCAGAGAAACUGAUAUUCUUGGAAAAACAGGCCAGUAUGCACCCAAGCUCUCCUUCAAGUCUGAGCAGCAGCAGGGAGCUCCAAAUUCUUUCUCAGCAGUGGUUUACCAGUUUGGGAUGGGCAAGACUGUUGUGGCUGUGAUCAUGGAAGAAGCCAGACUCUUUGAUCCCUCGCUUUUUACGUGGUGGUUUUCAGUCCGGCUGCACUGUGGAGCAAGUCAGCUGCAUCCCUGUGUGAGAAACUCAUGCUCACUGUCAGGGGAUGGUGAAAGAGGAAACCAGACCGGGUUGGUGAUCUCAGGUGAUCUGUUUGGAAUUGUUGCAGUCAUGGAUGGAAAUACUUGUGGCAGUUUUCUCCUCCCAUGAAUUGCAGGGUAGUGUCAUCUUCAGCUGUCCACAGUCUUGCUGUUCUACCUUUCCCUGAGGUCAGAGUGACUGUGGUUGUCUCCACUUUGCUCUUCAUGGCAUGUAGUGGGUCCAGUGAAUGUGACUUUACAGGGAAAACACUCAUAAAUACAACAUCACUCUGACCUUUAAACCCCAUCUCUGAUCCUUCCCAAAGACACCGUUACAUAAGCAUUAUGUAAACUGUCUCCAAAAAAUCUAAGAAAUGCCUCUUGUAAAAAUACCCUACCUCCACCAUGGAGCUAUUGUGAAAACACACUGAGGAGACCAAAAAUACUGCCAAGGAGCUAUCAAGAGUAAGCCCAAAUUCCCACAGAGGAGCCAUUGUAAACAUAACCAUAAAAAAUGGAGGGAUCAUUGUACAAAUCCCUUCAAAAGGCCCUCACGAGAAUACUUCCAAAUAUCACACAAAAGAUUUUUAAUACUGGAUACUUUGUGGGAUUUUUUGGUUGUUUUUUUUUUUUAAUGGUCCUUUUAAUGAGGUGUUUAUUGCCAUGCUUUGACAUUGCAGAUCACUUCCAAAAUGGCUUUUAUGUGAUCUUAUUGGGGCAACUUUAGAAUCACCAACAUGUUCCCAGUAAAUCCAUAUGGUUUUGACUCUAGGUCAGCUUUAAAUUGCCUUGAUGAUUUUCACAAUUGUUUCAUCAGUGAUACCCUGAGGACAUUUUCUAAAUAUCCCUUCAAUAGGAUCUCUGAGAUGUCAGAUAAAUUUCUUUGCUGGGGCCUUA